AUUUGAAAAAUUUAAAAAGAUAAACUGGAGUUACAUUUUCACCCUAGUGUUUUCGUUAUUGUUCAUCUUUAAAAAAGUUUAUAAGAUUUAACCAAACUCACCGCACACCAAAACGGCAAAACCUAAGUUUUUUCUUCUCUGAUUCAAGUUGUGGCGGCGAGGUGGAAUCCCGAUACCCCAAGCCCAAAUUCUUGCCCACCUUUCUUCGACUAAACCACCUUUCGUUCAUAUCUCCAACCACUAACAACUUCAACCCUUGGGGUAGACGAUAUUGGUGGUAGAAUCGAAAUAGGUAGAGGCUUAAUUGGUGAUGGAUCAUGUAAUGGAUUGCGGUUUCGGUGGUGGAAUUGGACUGUGUAUCGCUUUAAUUGGAAGGCUUGAUGGUAGGUUUUCUCAAUCAGCUCGUUGAUAUCCUGGCACUCGAGUGGGUGAUUCGGCUAUGGUACGCAAUAGUGGGCCUAGCGGCACAGCUUAAUUACCUAUUUUAACGUUUCGGUGGUAUGGAAUUGUUGCGUUCAAUAUGCUUGAUAGGUAAUUACCUAGAGUUUGACUAUUAACUUGAAUGUUUAAUACUUUUACUUUUAGCUUCUUAAUUAUUCAUCUCCCUUAGAUUAUAUUAUGGAUUAUUCUAUUAUGGAUUUUGGUAUGGGAUGUUAUACAUUGCUGCUAUGGUCAAAUUGAGAUUGUAUUGGAAAGUUGUGCAUAUUUAAGCUGUAUACAGAGAUUUGGUUGUUACGGAAGGGAAGGGAAGGAAAGUCAGCCUACUUUGAAGUUAGAGAACAUUGUUCUAGCAAAAUAAACAUAACUAAGCUGCAACACCAAAAGGAUAACAGAAUGAUAAGCAAAAUCCUGCUACAACCUGAUUUAAUCAAGAACCAAGGCGGAGUAUAUGAACAAAGGCAGUCUGAAGACUAUGAAUGGACAACUGAAAUGUAGCAGCAUGCUUAAAAUCUAUAUAAUAGAAUAAUAAAAGCCUGACAGCGAGACCGAUAUGCCUUGACAGUAUGCAACUAGCAUCACCUACCUAACCUUAGCAAUAAAAACUCAAAACACCAAAAGAAAAUGAGUGAAUGAAUGAAUUUGAUCUGAUCAUAAUUAAUCUCAAAGUCUCGCAAAAUCUAUAUAGCCUAAUUAUGCUUCUAUCAUUAUGGAUGCAAAUGAAUCAAUGCAUUGUUGUGAUUUAUGUCUGCUUAGUGGAAUUUAAUAGUCUCAUUGACUCUUUGUUUAUGUCCUCGCAACUUCAUAUGUUAUUCCGUGACAUCUUUCACUCUGCGUGAUUAAACUUUGACAUUUCACUCUUUGAUUUUUUUUUUUUUUAAAUAAAAGCCUCUGCUUGCUGCCUGUUCACGACAAUCACUACUAUAAAUUGGCUUUUUGGAAUGCAUUUACUACCUAUUGCUCAGGCUAUUAGAAAUGCAAUAAAUCAGAAAUGUAGUUUAGUGUUUUUUUUAUCAUCCACCUAGUGCCAAGGUUUCUAAUAUGAGUAAUAUAUUGAUUCACUAAUGAGCUCGAUUGCUAUGCAACUACCUUAUUAUUGUGCAAUUACAUCGGCAUAUCAGGUCAACUAUUAUCUUUGAGACAACUUGGGUGGAAUAGCCAAGAAGGUUAUAAUGGCAGAAACUAGUUAUUUCUAUGCUUCCUUAUUCCUUGUAUUUUCCUUUGAGAAACUGAAUUAGAUGGAGGCUGGGGAAAUCAUACACAUUGACUUUUUAUUGAUAUUUUCUUCAGGAAAUCAAGCUAUGGGUCUGUUUAAUUCAUAAUUACACGCACUUUCCCUUUUGUGAUAUAGGCAGGUACUCAGCUUCCAAGUGCCGAGAGGCCCGAGACAACGCAAAAAUAUGUAGAACCUCGAGAAACAAUGGAAAAGUAUCCAACACUUUCUCAUGUCGAGGUAGCACAAAAGGAGUUUAAAUCGAAGUCUCGUGAUCGGGUUUUGGGUUUUGAAGGAGGAAUAACACUUAAAGAAAAAUCAGGACAACCUAGUAGGGUGGAACUUCAAUCUAAGUUGAAUGAGGCAAACAAACAAAAGCAUGUUCUUACCAAUCGCGUGGAUACGGUGCAAGAAGAAAACAAUGCACUUAAGAGUCGCAUGAGCUCAGUUGAAGAUGAGCUUAAUGAGCUUAACGCUUUGAAGAAGUGUUCUUACAACGCUUUUCAAGAGAUGACACUCUAAAAAAGAACACUUCAACUAAUUAGAUUUUUAUUUUUUUCUUUUAGAUUAAACAAGAAUUAUUUAUCUUUUAGCUUUUUUUAGAAUUUAAAGACAAGGGGAUGUGAUUUUUGAUUCACAUAACUUGAAAUUCAAUUGUCAAAAAUCUUUUGAGUAAUGAAAUUUUCAUUGUUUUAAUCGAUU